GACGAACGCUGGCGGCGUGCUUAACACAUGCAAGUCGAACGGAAAGGCCCUGCUUGCAGGGUACUCGAGUGGCGAACGGGUGAGUAACACGUGGGUGAUCUGCCCUGCACUUCGGGAUAAGCCUGGGCAACUGGGUCUAAUACCGGAUAGGAGCCAUUUUUAGUGUGAUGGUUGGAAAGUUUUUUCGGUGUAGGAUGAGCUCGCGGCCUAUCAGCUUGUUGGUGGGGUAAUGGCCUACCAAGGCGGCGACGGGUAGCCGGCCUGAGAGGGUGGACGGCCACAUUGGGACUGAGAUACGGCACAGACUCCUACGGGAGGCAGCAGGGGGGAAUAUUGCACAAUGGGCGCAAGCCUGAUGCAGAGACGCCGCGUGGGGGAUGACGGCCUUAGGGUUGUAAAAUCCUUUCGCUAGGGACGAAGCUUUUUGUGACGGUACCUAGAUAAGAAGCACCGGCUAACUACGUG
rnacentral:rRNA from 1 species